rnacentral:misc_RNA from 1 species
ACGUUCAAUCCGCCAAGAGACAUCAUGUUCCUGCCUUGCUGUCAUUGAUCUAGACUUCUUGAGUUACUUUGCCUUUCCUUAUUCCUUACCGCUAUCGUUUCUAUCGCUACCGUUCUUUUCUGAACCCCUCUAUCGUUUGCACUAUCGUUUGGUGUCUUUUUUUCCUUUCGUGGUCACCUUUCCUCUUACCUUUUUCCUUCUUUUGCUAUCGCUAAGUUUACUUUAAAAUAGAAUUAGUGUUUGUGUGCCCGAGUCACCGGCUAAGGGGCUAAGAUUCAAGUGUGCUGACCUUGAAGUAGAACACGAGAAGACGAUGUUUUUGGGCUGCCAGAAAGAAGAUCUCGUCCUGGUUUUAUUCGUGGCAAUUUUCUUUGCUUCGAGCUGUGCUUUGACGGGGAAAAAUAAUCGUCCUGAAGUGACAAUCUCCCAGGGAAUCCUGCGAGGAAAAACACUCACUACUCGCUAUGGUCGAAAUGUAUCAGCGUUUCUCGGAAUUCCUUAUGGGCGACCGCCGAAAGGGGAUCUUAGAUUUACAGCUCCUGUUGCAGCAGAGAGUUGGAACGGAACUCGAGACGCUAGUAUUGAUGGAAAUAUUUGCCCACAAGCCCAAUAUGAUGAAAUUGUAGGAGAUGAGGACUGCCUGUAUAUAAACGUGUAUACUCCACACGAAAUACUUUCAUCGUGUGAUCCACACAUUAAGGUUCACGAAUGCCCGAAGUCGACACUUUUUCCGGUUAUGGUGUUCUUCUAUGGUGGAGGCUACGUCUCAGGAAGCUUUCUUCCCACGUCGUAUGGUCCAGAGUACAUUCUUGACAAGGAUGUGGUUCUUGUCGUAUUCAAUUAUCGCCUAGGACCAUUGGGAUUUUUGAGCACUGGCGACGAGGUGGCGUCUGGAAAUUGGGGACUAAAAGACCAAAUCUUAGCCUUAAAGUGGGUUCAGGACAAUAUCGCACAUUUUGGUGGUGAUCCUGAUCAAGUGACUUUGUUCGGACAAAGUGCAGGCGGUGCUUCUAUUCACCUCUUGUCGCUGACAAAUGUCACGAUUGGACUCUUUCAUCGAUACAUAACGCAAAGUGGACCGGCACUUUCUUCAUUGGCUUACUUGCCCAGAGCUACUUGUGCGAGGCAUGCAUUCAAACUUGGGGAAUAUGUCGGCUGUUACAACGGAACUUCAGAUUCUUUGAUCAACUGUUUACGGACAGUAAAUAUCUCGGAUAUUAUAGCCGCAUAUCCGAAGUUUCACGUAUGGGAAUCAUAUCCUUUUUCCGUAUGGACUCCAACCGAUGAGCUGGAUAUGGAAGGCGCUGUGCUUACUGCCAGUCCAGCUAAUUUGAUAAGUGCUGGUCACAUCCGUGAUUUACCUUGGAUUUCUGGUGUGACACGGAAUGACGGGCUACUAGAAACUGCAAAGUUUUAUGUCGACGACGUACUGCUGAGUGAUUUUCUGGAAAAUUUUGACACUCUACUGCCUGUUUUCCUAAUGUCGUCUUAUGCUCCAGAUGUUGUUGCUGAUUUUAUCGAAGCUGUCAAAUUGUACUACUUCAACGACAAUUUGACAAUCAGUAAUAACGUGCUACUUGAGAAUCUUACCAGACUCGUGAGUGACGAUUUUUUUUACUACCCGGUUUACGAAGCAUUCCAGAAACAGCUUGAACUAGCUGUGAAUCCACAAUAUCUGUACAUUUUCAACUAUCGCGGUACUUUCAGUAACUCUUACUUAGAAACGGAUUCUACAGCUAACUAUGGCACGGCACACUCCGAUGAUUUGAUAUAUCUUUUUCCAUCGGAAGCAAAAUUCUCGGGUAUUAAUAAAACCAUGAGCAUAAUGGAUUAUCAAAUGGUGGACAUUAUGGUGGAGUUGUGGACGUCUUUUGCUAUUAAUGGAACACCUUCGGUUUCAACUUCCGACCGUACUACAAUAUGGAUGCCGUAUUUGAAGGAGCACAAUUACCUACGGAUCGGAAAUGUAUCCAGUGUCGAACUCAAUCUGGAACAUUCCUUCUUCAAAGAACGAGUGCAGUUCUGGGACAGUUUGAAGACCACGUUAAAGUGUGGCAGUCGCAGAAAUCUACGUAAAAGAAAAAAUAGACCACUUGAUAUCAGGUUUAGAAAAAGGAGGAAGUAUAGUAUACCUGUAUGCUGAAAGUAUGUAUGGUAUAAACCGAGUAUAACUGUCCGAAUUAUAAUUUCAACAUUGAGUAUUUUUAUGUUUAACAAUGUUGUCUGAAAUAAUUGUUCAUUAAACUUAAGUAUGGCCGAGCAUUUUUUAAGUAGAUUCAAUUUCAUUAGCUACGAUUAAACUUUUUCUACCUCAUGUGUUUGUUUUGACACAAUUUUGAAUCGAUCUGUCGGUCCUUAAAAUGCUAUAUUGCCAAAUUUCUACGCUGACGCGCACGCAAUUUCACGAUAUUCUCACUUCUGCCCAUCUCGCAUUAGAGAUUUGCAAAUCCAGUGACAGCCGACAGAUGGAAAGGAAUUCCCAAUGCAAGUGACGAUGCAAGUGGCUGCCUUCGGGCAUCAGGUGAUCUAAUCGUGGGAGAUGAGGACUGCCUGUAUUUGAAUGUGUGCACGCCGCAGGUUAUUGAUGAACUGCGAGAAAUAAUGUCAACUUUGUUUUUUCAAAAAAUGAGACUUUCAGAUCCGAACUUUUGCAGGAAAUCUGCAGGGGAAAAAAUUUCUGUAUGACUUAUUAUUUCCGACAAAAUGUUGGACCGGCUCACUUCGUUGAUAAAGUUAUUUCACAGUGAGGAGUUAGCCACUUAUCAGUUCGUGUGUACAUUCGAUUUCAAAAUCUCACGAGAUUUAAAAGGAUUUCAGAGAUUUCAAAGAUUUCAUAAGAUGAAUGGUGUACAUCAGAUUUCAAGGUUGGUGAAUCCACCUGUGGUGAUUGGGGAUGUUAAAGAUUAUGGUACUUAACCACAACAGCAAAAAUUUGCGAAUUCUAAAUUGUAGGCAGCAGGAAUUUUCACAAUUGAAACAGCGUCAAUGAAAAUUUCUUUGACAACGUACUUCAGCUUCCAAAUGGAAAAAGAUCACCACUACUUCUGGUUAUAAUGUUCACUCACGGCGGAAGAUUCGUUGAAAGAAGUGCUUCUUCAAUGCGAUGCGGCCCAAAAUAUGUGCUUGACGAAGACGUGCUCCUUGUUACUUUCAACAACCGCUGAGGCCAUUCGGGUUUUUGAGCACUGGUGACGAAGUGGCGUCUGGAAACUGGGUCCUCAAGGUCAGUCUUUAAAUGGGUUCAGGAUUACAUCGAAUAUUUUGGUCGUGAUCUUGAUCAGGUGACGCUUUUGAGACAGCUCAGGUGGCGUUUGCGUUCACUUCCCGACGCUCCUCAAUGCCACAGUCGGUAAGAAUUAACGGCUCCUUUUUAAUAAAUUCUUAAAGCCAAUUAAUUUUCAGCCAUAGCAUUGAAUUCCUUAGAGGUUCUUUUUGACAGAAAAUGUAAUCUUGUAAAUUUAUCUAGUGAGCUCUGCAAGGCCAGUCAUUUUUUGUCGUUGACUCAAUGGAGCUUUUCCAAUACUUUUUUCAGCUUGUAGCUUAUACAACAGGUUGUGAAGUAUACCUGUAGUAUUCUGUUCAAGGUUAAACGACGAUUAGAUGAAAAUUCGUCGAAAACUUUAUAGAAGUUAGAAAUUGUUUCACUCAUGAGAGAAACAAUGCGUAAAAUGAGGUUAGCUUGCUCGGACAGUAGUCCGAGAUAUUUACUUUUUCAAGCAGCAAGCUUUUUCUUUCAUAUUUCCUGACUUAGCGUUUUAUGAGAAUUCUACAAAGUUCGAGAACUUUCUGAAAAACUUCGAUGUCACACUCACAGUUUUAUUGAGUUUGAUUUACCAACCGGCUCCUCUCAAACCUGACACUCCUCAUCGGUGACACUUACUUCGUAUAUCCUAUCUUCAACGCAGUUCGAAAGCAGCUCGCUCUGGCGGAGAAUCGGCAGUUUUUUAAUGAAUGAAAACUAUACGUUUACGGUGGUUCAACAGCCAAUUACGGUGUGGCGUAUGGUGACGACCUGAUUAACCUCUUCCCAAGAAAUCAGUUUUUCAAAAAUCUGUAGAACCAAACCAUGUGUGAUAUUUCCAAAUGGAUGACAUCAUGGUGCUUCUAAAAUAACUCCUAUAUCUUCAACUUUCAACGGCAUCACGAUGUGGGAGUUCAACUCAACGGAAGGCGAUUACUUACAGAUAGGAAAACAUUUCAACCUUACACUUAAGCAGCGAUAUUACUUCUUCAAAGAGCGAAUACAAUUUUGGGAUGGUUUGGUUGGACAACAUAUCAACACGCAAGCAGAAAUUGAUAGGAAUAGUAAUUCCGAAACAAAUAUUUUGAGAAAAAAUUUAGUAAGCUGAUGUAAAACUUGCCUCUCAAGGGUGUGUCGGAUGACCGACCGAGUAAGUGAAAUGUAUUUGGAACUUAUUUUUCUCUUCUGCAAAGUAAUUGAAUUCUGUCAAACUUUAGGGAAUGAUGGAAAUAGCAAUUACGCUUUUAUGGUCAUUGAGAAUAGUUAAGAAAAUUAACGAAAACGCUGUAAUAAAUAUACUUGCAGCUGAUUCUCAUUAACUUUGAAGCUAUAGCGUUUUAAUCUACAACCAAGAGCCAUUUUUUCAACUUUUCCAUGAAUUUCUCAAACUUUCCGUACUUGCUAAACAAGCGUGAUCAUACAUUCUAUAAUUUCCCAAAUGUUAAAUCGACGAGUUUAUCGCUCAGAAGAGAAAAACGUGUCAGCAAUUACGAUUUGCUCAAGUGGUCGGUAGAAUAUAAA